GCAGGCCUGAGAGCAAAGGAGGGAAGAGGGCACAGCUCACCGGCCGUCCCACACUGCCGGGCAGGACUGCAGAGAGCAGCUGUCACAUCAGGAACGGUUUACUUCAAAGUAGGACUGACUAGAUCUAGUUUACUCAUCACAAGCACGAUCCUGCUGGAGUUGUCACAUGAAUUAGGAUGGCCAAGCUACUCACGGGUUGCCUCUGAAGCCAAGCACCAGCAAAAAACUGUUGUCCCAUCCCAGGGUCCGUGAUGGGAGCCAGGGAGCACCCCUCUCCUUCUGACUAGAGGGGGGGCUUAAAUGAGUAGCUAAGACUAGAAACAUCCAACCCACAUCCUACCCCUGAGCAGAGCUCCGGCUUUCAGAAUAAAGCGGAAACGGUGAGAGCAAACAGGCAAGGCCUCUCCCAUGGGCACAGCGCGUGGUCUCUCUGAACCUGCCCUUUCCUUCUGGCUGGCGCCCACCAAACAAAACACAAGGUGAAGUCCCACCAGUCUCCAGCCAUCUUAUGGUUGAUACAGUCCAGCCACUCGCUUGAGUCAUCACACACACACAGGCUGUUGGGUCACUUAAGCGUAUCAACAACCUGAACUAAAUGAAACCUUGAGACUGAACAAUCUCUCUCUAUUUAGCAAGCAGUGGAAAAGCUUCUGCAAUAAAGUUGUCAAACCAAAACAAUUCUGCUGAUUUAUAGUCUAUAGAAUCACUAAUCUGAAAGCUUAUUCCAGGCUCCUGGAUAUUUUCACGCUAAGCUGUAUGUUUGCUUUUCUAAAGAAAGACAUUGUUUAAAAUACGUGUUUCUCCUAGUAGACUCUACAGCACAUUUGCUUCGCUGCAAAGGCACAGCUAAAGCCUGAGCAGGACAGUAUGAAUGAAGCUGGUAAUGGCUCCAGCGCUUUCCUACAGCUCCUCAGACCUGGUUUUCAGCUCUUGCACUUUACUCCUCGCUUUUUACACAGCAGACGUCAGCCCUGCCUGCGCAAACUCGUGGGUCACACUUACCCCCUCGCUGCACGCUGCCUGCCUGUUUCUGCCAAAGCUGCAGGAGAGGCAGCCUGCAGCAGGGAAAGCCCUGCCCUGCCUGUGGGGCAUAUGCACCAACCUAAAAGCCAUACCACUGCAGCCCUAAGAGGUGGGAAUGUGUAGCUUACACAUAUACAGAUGUGUGGCAGAGCCUCUGAAAUAUUUUAUAAUUCUUUGAUUCAAUAAUUCUUAAAUUUUCUUUUUUCUUUAGAAGAGCAGAGCUGCUAACACCAGAUCUCUGCUAAGAAUUUGCACAGCAUUUGAGAGCUGGGGACACUGCUGUGGACAACUAACGCUCUUCUAAUCACACACUGAACGCAACCUGGGUUUUUUGCCACUUAUCCAAGCACCUCUCCUAAUAACCCCAUCAUCCUCUUUGCAGUACUGCCCUACAGCCCUGCCUUCUGUUUGUCUCAGUUUGUAAGUGCUUCACAGAAAUGAAGGACUCUUCACUGGUCUGUGUCACUUGCAGGAACAGAUCACACCUGAAGAAAUCAUUGUAAGGUAGUUCGGAUUUUUCCACUGUAUUCCUUCAGAGCAGAUGGGCUUUGGCUUGCCAGAAAACAAACUACAGGCUGCAUCCCUUAGAGCUUGCGCAGGAGUCAGAAACCAGCAAGAGGUACACUGUAUGAAAUUUCCAGUGCCCAUCCUCCCUCCCUCCUUCCCUCAAAUUCAGGGAUCCUCUUCCCUUCCCACACUUUUCUCCCUCCCUCCCUUUAAUUAAAGCCAGAAUAUGGUUUUAAUUAAAGCAUGCCUGGAUUGUUCUACCUUCUCUGAUUAUCCAAGAGAUGUGGAAUUGCUGUGCACCCAUGGCAACAUGCCCAUUUCCACUCCGUGACAAUUCCCUAGCUUGUAGCUACAAACUGUCCUCCAUAAGGUUUUAGGAAAAGGCAAGAAUUUGUUGGAGCAGAGGCACCUCAGCCCCUAUUCUCCUUGGCUGGCAGAUGACCUGACAUCAAACAUCCCCUCGGAAGUGGGAGAACGUCUGCUGUACUGGAUCAUCAGAUCACGCCUCCUGCCCAGAGUGCUGUGAUGAUGAGCAGAAAAGCAAAGCUGCCAAGGAGGAAUCAGCCACAUGCCCAGCAAUGCUCUCAGGAAACGAGCUCUUCUCUCCAGAUAUACAUGAUCCACUCCAGCAACUGCAGAAGCACUACCAGAAAGCCAAAGAUUAAACCAUUCCUUAAAGUGAAUAUAGGAGAUAAAGAAGCCUGGAGCAGCCGAGCCCAUUACAACCAUCAUUACCCAUGCAGUAAAAAAGGAGCUUUCUGUGAUGAAGCCCAAAGUACACCACCGUGCACUGAAUGUGAAUUCACAUGUAAAAAUAAAAGCCUGCUGUGAAAUCAUCUGCCGCUAAAGUAUCUUGAAGUUAUCUUUAGAAGGUUUGCCUAAUGUCUUUGUUAGCUGCUUUAAAAUAAAUAAAUAAGUGCUGAGA